CAGAAAUGAAUUUUCCCUGAUUCUACACAAGAAUCCUCUGGCAGAGUUCAUAGAAGAGCUGCCUGCUGGGCGAUCUGCACUGUGCUACUGCAACUUACUCUGUGGGAUCAUUCGAGGAGCCCUGGAGAUGGUUCAUUUAGCGGCUGAUGUUACAUUCUUGCAAGACAGACUAAAAGGUGACAAUGUGACAGAAAUUGGAAUAACAUUUCUGAAAAAGGUGGAUGAUAAAAAAUAUAGACGGAAAAAAUGAAGACUAGCAUGCAGAGAGCCACCCACUGGUUGGCUGUCCAGUGAGUAUUAGCUAAACACACACCCACAGAAGUUCUGUAGUAGCUUCGGCAGGCUUAUAAAUCUUGCUGUGUGUCACACAAUUUUAGCAAUUUCAGAUACAAGUAACUUCUUAUAAAACAGUAAGCAUGAAUUCCACCCACAUAUUCAAUCCCUCCUCAGCCAGUCUAUCCAUUCAGUUACCUGUGACAAUAGGAAAAGAAGAAGAAGCAUCACCUAUACAAGCUGUUAGGGCCUUGGCUCUUUUCAAUAGAAAAAAAAAAUGA
rnacentral:lncRNA from 1 species